GGCUGAAAUUCGCCUUCAUGAAGCUGGAAUUGCUAGUAAUGGCAGGUCAGCAUACUGCCGUGAAUACGUUCCCGGGCCUUGUACACACCGCCCGUCACACCAUGAGAGUUGGAAAUACCCGAAGCCUGUGAGCUAACUUAAAGAGGCAGCAGUCGAAGGCAGAGCCAAUGAUUGGGGUGAAGUCGUAACAAGGUACC
rnacentral:rRNA from 1 species